rnacentral:misc_RNA from 1 species
UAUAAAUGUGAAUCAGCAAAAACUCCUGUGUGUGUUGAGAGCAAAGGGGAUACAAACCCGUUGCCCUUUUUAACGACCACAGUUAUAUAUAUGGAGUAGUAUACAUGUGGUCAAGGGUGUUGAUGAUUUUUUCCAAGCAACUCUCAAUUUCAUCAUUCAUCAUGUGUCGCCACUGCGAAUCAGAAGACAGCAUGGAACUUCCCCAGGAAAUGUCCCGAUUUGUCUACGGUUGUUUCAUGAUAAGUUCUCAACAACGACCAGAUGACAGUUCCGUUGUCUCCAGGGUUGUAGAAGGGAGUGAGGUUGAUACAUCGAGCCACUACAUGACUGCCGUCAACAGCUUCAAGAUCUCUUCACCGCUUGCGUCGUCAACAUUUCUGGACUGUAGGACCCCUCCAGUGGCAACCUCCACUUCCAUCGACGACAGAUAUCGCUCUAGGCAGUUGACUCCACCAUUGGUUUCCUCUACAUCCAAACAUCGUAGACGUCGCCCGAGUCUGGGAACUCCUCCUGUUGCAUCCUCCACUUUCAUUAACAAUAGAUGUCGCUCUAGUCUAAGGACCCCUCAAGUGACUUCAUUCACAUCAAAAGACGGUAGAUGUCGCCCCAGUCUGAGAACUCUACCUGUGGCAUCCUCCACUUUCCUAGACGGUAGAUGUCGCUCCAGUCUAAGGAUCACCCCUCCUGUGGCAUCCUCCACUCUCGUCCAUUCAUCUGAAAAUUCAGAAGAUUCUGGAUUUGGAAGGAGUUCCAGUGCAACACAAGAACAUAACAGCUGCAAAUCACGUGGACAAAGGAGGAGGUCGUUAGGAUUAUUCCGGACUAGCACCAAGAGCAAGCUUGUGUCGGCAGGCCGCGACAGAAAAGCAACAAGAAAUUCAUCACCAGUUGCAAAUGGCAGAGAAGAGCAGGGACAAAGUAUGCAGUGUUCAGGAACAAGUGAUGAAGUUAGCAUGGUGAAAAAACAGAUGAAGAAAAACAUUCUCAAGAAGUUUUUGUCCUUCAGUGACAGUGCAAAUCGCUCUGAACUUUACACAAUUGCAUGUUUGUGAUAAUAUUUUGAAGGAACUGUUUGAUGACUAUUGGAACGAUAUAGUGCUUGUAAUUUAAUUCAAAAAGAUUGAAUUACAUUAUCAAUUAAUGUAUACGAAUUAACUGUUAUUAUUUAUAAUCUCAAAUAUAAAUAAAAGCCGAUAAAGCU